GCCACCUUGCAUCAACACUCAUUUAUUCUAGCAGCAGUACAGGCUGGUCACUGAUUGAGUGAGCACAGAAAUGGUGUUUUAGAGCUGCUUGUGAGAUAGCGGUCCUUUGUUGCUUUUUCAAAUUUCAGCUAUCAAUGAUCUUCAACUCACACUUGUGAUGAAUUUACACUGGAUAUUAUCAACUUGAUAGUGUUUUCUGGGAUAGAAUUCUUCACUACUGAGGCUGAGAACUACUUGUGUUGCUCGUCACAUAAGAUACAUGGAGUCACUUGCUGCCUAGCUUACUGCUGGAACUACCUGGGAGUCACAAGGCAGCUUGAUUGAUUCACAGCAGGGUCAAAUCCUUGGCCAUGUUCAUGGACCAUCAAGAGACACAGAAAUAAGAGAUGAACAAGAUGCAGCUACAGUUAUGCCCGAGAUUCGUUCUUCCCUUUGAUUAAGCUGUGGAGCAGAACAGUGCGGGCUGCUUUUCGAAAAGCGACUGUGAAGUUGUUCUGGAAAGUGUAUGUGGCCCUGUUGUGUGCUUCGCAGCUUUAUAAGUAUGAAUUUUCAGUUAGAGGUAACUUAGGUCCGUUGCUGUGCAUUCACAAUGUGUUAGUUUAUUAACUUUUCAUUUUAGAUAAUUAAAAAAUUCUCCUUGAACGUGCUUUUGCGGGUUUUCAAGAACUAAGUAAGAAGCACACAUUAAUAAUGAUGUAUCUGGUGUUUAUUUAUUUAUUAUGGAUUUCAUAGCUUCGUUAAGUUUUGGAAUGGCAACUUCUAUUAUCUCUGGUUAAAGAAGAAUCGCUGCUGACAGAUAUAAGGAGAAUACUUGUAGUACCACAUUUGGACUAAAUAGGCCUGCUUCUGCUUUUUACUAAUUUUUUUAAUUUAGUCAGCAUGAAUAAAUAAAAUCAUGAAUGUGAGAUAGAUCUUUUUAAAACCCGUUAAUGCGAUGUGAAUUUACUUAGUUUGCCUUGAACUCAAGUCUUUCUAUAUAGUGAUAACUGACCCCCUCUGUUUAUUUUUAUACAUUAGUUAUUUUAAAUACUUUUAAGCAGAAGUUGAUGCUUUAAAGUGACAACACUUGAAUGUGAACCAUGUGUAAUUAGGAAAAACUUGAAAUAAUUAUUAAAAAAAAUGAAAAGGGCAAAGAAAUUUUGGGGAAAUAUUACUACUUGAGUAACAUCCAGAAACAACAUACUUAAAAUACUUAACUUUCACUACAACAGUAGUUUGGACUGA